rnacentral:rRNA from 1 species
UACGGAGGAUGCGAGCGUUAUCCGGAUUUAUUGGGUUUAAAGGGUGCGCAGGCGGCACGGCAAGCCGGCGGUCAAAUCGCGGGGCUCAACCCCGCCCAGCCGUCGGAACUGCCGGGCUAGAGUGGGCGAGAAGUGCGCGGAAUGCGUGGUGUAGCGGUGAAAUGCAUAGAUAUCACGCAGAACUCCGAUUGCGAAGGCAGCGCACCGGCGCCCUACUGACGCUCAGGCACGAGAGCGUGGGUAUCGAACAGG